CAAGAGUUCUCCAUUCUAGUAUUCCUUUUGUCACAUCCAAGGUCUUUAUUCAUGUUAACUAAAUUGCAUCUUUCCAGAAUUCUAGUUUCGUAUGGAUGGAGAACAAGAGAGUCUAUGAAUCAACUGGAAUUCAGAGUUUUUGCUCAAAUGUCUGAUGGCAUCCACAAUUUCACAUUGCUAGAAAACUCAUCCCAUCUCAGCAGAGACCUUGGAAUGGAUCCUGAAUAAAAUCAUAGUACUGAAUUUCCCAUGCCUUGCUCAAAAAGCUUUUCUUCAUGUUGCAAUAUUCAGCAGAAAAGACAAGAUCCAAAGGAACAAACAACAAUGAGCUAAAAAGCACCGUAGAAACGCAGUCCUGUAGCGUUGAGCAAUUUAUCUGGAUGUACUCACAGUUCUGCCAGAAAUUUCCUUUUCUAACCCAAAACAUCACUUGA
rnacentral:lncRNA from 1 species